rnacentral:tRNA from 1 species
GAGGUUUUAGCUUAAUUAAAGUGGUUGAGUUGCAUUCAGAAGAUGUAUAUUAAGGGUAUACAGGCCUUC